GAAAUAGGUCCAACGUUUUAUUUACAUUACAGGGUUAAUGAUACUUACAAGACAAAGGAACCUGUUUAUGAAAACUCUGGCAUUGAACUAGAAUAUGGAAAUCCAGGAAAUGCUGCCAGUGCCAGUAAGCAUGGAAUUGUACAAGCAAUAAAGAGCGACACUUUGUUAAAGUCACCUGACUAUGAGGAUCUUGGAAGAGUUCAAGUAUCUGAGCAUGAAUAUGGAGAAAUUCGUCCAGACACGUGAUAUCAUUGAUAUAUUUAUAACAGUAAGAACACGCGAAGAGAAAUGGUCAUCAACAACUAUGAACUGCAUUAAAAGAGUCAGACUGAGAAGAGAGUAACAAUUUGAAUUUUAAACAAUGGACGACAUUAUAUCAAAGUUUAACACAAAAUCAUUAUUUAUUGUAUAGUUAUGAAUAUCUGUCUAAUAUUUUAUGUGUUAAACACUAUUGUAAAUACUUUCUUAAAAAAUAUUUAAAACAUUUGACUGCAUGUUGAUAUUUUGAUGUCCGCACAUUUGAAGGCGGAACAGUUCAAUAAAACGGAUGUCCACAUUUACAUAAAGAAAAUUUGAAAUUGAGAAAUACCUUAGUGAAACACAUACGCCAUUAGUUCAACCUUUUUAUGUCUUCCAUUUUGUCUUCUAUUUGGUUAUAUGUAUCAUAUUUUCUGUUAAAAUAAUUGUCUAUAAAAUUGUGUCAUGUUUACAAGCUUUAUUGUGUAAUUGUAAAUAUAUGUUUGUGUAGUAAGAAACGCCAUUACUACGUUGCCAAAUAAAAUGUUUUGAAUGUUUAAUCUUGAAUAUUAAGUUUAGACAAGAGCGUGCAUUUGCGUAAAACCACUGACGUACCGUCAGCUAGUCGGUUAGCAUACUAAAAGUCUCCGGUGGGAUUGGAACUUACAGAGGUGAGAAUGUAAGUGUAUUAAUGUUAAACAAGACCGACAACAUCUUGUGAUACCAUAACUACGACUCGUAUAAUUGCCAAAUAUCUAGAGUAAAUUCAAAGAAAGUUGAGAUUGGAAACAAAAACCUUCUUAAAAACAGUUUUCGCUGUUGUUUACAUGACUCAAUUUAAUGUAUAUGUUUUUUUAUAAAAUAGAAAAAGCUGUGCUUAAUUUCAUGACUU